GACGAACGCUGGCGGCGUGCUUAACACAUGCAAGUCGAGCGGAGCUGCGAACGGGUGAGUUACGCGUUAGUAUCUUCCCCCCUCUCUGUGAUAACAGUUGGAAACGGCUGCUAAUACCGGAUAGUGGGGGAUGGCUCGCGUCCUAUCUGCUUGGUGGUGGGGUAGUGGCCUACCGAGGCGACGACGGGUAGCCGGCCUGGGAGGGCGACCGGCCACAUUGGGCUGAGAUACGGCCCAAACUCCAACGGGAGGCAGCAGUGGGGAAUAGUGCACAAUGGGGGAAACCCUGAUGCAGCAACGCCGCGUGCGGGAUGACGGCCUUCGGGUUGUAAACCGCUUUCAGCCAUGACGCGGUAGUGGCAGAAGAAGCACCGGCUAACUACGUGCCAGCAGCCGCGGUAAUUC
rnacentral:rRNA from 1 species